rnacentral:sRNA from 2 species
CACUUAUUAUUGCUGAAUUCUCUAUCUGUUUGAAAAAGUAGAGGAACGGGGGAUAUACAUUUGGGGUUAAUUCCGGUGAUACCGGAAAGGGAUUUCUUCCACCUAACCCGUCAACUAACCUCGUAAGCAUUAAGGAGGAAUUAG